rnacentral:rRNA from 1 species
CCUACGGGAGGCAGCAGUGGGGAAUAUUGGGCAAUGGGCGCAAGCCUGACCCAGCAACGUCGCGUGAAGGAAGAAGGCCCUCUGGUUGUUAACUUCUUUUGUCCGGGAAGAGUAGAAGACGGUACCUGACGAAUAAGCCACGGCUAACUACGUGCCAGCAGCCCCGGUAAUACGUAGGUGGCAGGGGUUGUCCGGAUUUACUGGGUGUAAAGGGCGUGUAGCCGGGUUGACAAGUCAGAUGUGAAAUCCUGCGGCUUAACCGCAGAACUGCAUUUGAAACUGUUGAUCUUGAGUACUGGAGAGGCAGACGGAAUGCCUAGUGUAGCGGUGAAAUGCGUAGAUAUUAGGAGGAACACCAGUGGCGAAGGCGGUCUGCUGGACAGCAACUGACGGUGAGGCGCGAAAGCGUGGGGAGCAAACAGGAUUAGAUACCCCUGUAGUC